GCGGCUGGAUCACCUCCUUUCUAAGGAUGAUCCUUCAGCGAGCUUCGGCUCACUAUCGGAUCGUUUUAGAAACAUCAGUGGCCAACAAUCGUCAGGAUUGUUGAGCUGCAUUGGCGGGAUUUCGCCGUCUUCGUUUCUCUUUCUUCGCGGACGAACACGCGCUGGGGCUGCAAGUUUGCAGAGUCCCUGGUCCUUGACUGGAUAUGCGUUAGGGGCUUGUAGCUCAGUUGGUUAGAGCGCGCGCUUGAUAAGCGUGAGGUCGGAAGUUCAAGUCUUCCCAGGCCCACCACUUUCAUCGAGUGAGCAUUCGUCUUCUGGUUACGGGGCCAUAGCUCAGCUGGGAGAGCGCGUGCUUUGCAAGCAUGAGGUCGUCGGUUCGAUCCCGUCUGGCUCCACCAGAUGGUUUGAUCAUCGACUGAUCGUGCACCUAAAUCGUCCGCGAAACAUCACUUCGCAUCUUGCUAGUCUGGAUAGACAGCAAGUUGCGUGAUUUCUGACAUCGUAAAGAGGAGAUCGAUCCGAGUUGGAUCGUGCAGCAAGCAAUUGCUACGCGAGACUUCAUUAUCUCCGGAUCAUUUCGGCGCUCGUGCGUCUUUCAAGGGCAGCUCACAAGGCUGCUUCUGGAGAGACAAGCGAGUUGUAAAUGAUCCUUUUAGCGAAGCUUGACCGCCUCGCUAUCGGAACGAUCUUACGAAGCAAGCUGGUCUUUCUAAUCAUUGUCCGGCUGCAGAUAGCGUUCAUCGAGGGCGCGUGCCGCAAGGCAGUUCUGCAGACAACAUUCUGCCGAGUGUGUGGACAUUGAUAAUGAGAGCAAUCAAGUGCCUUWAAGGGUGUUCGGUGGAUGCCUUGGC
rnacentral:tRNA from 1 species